UGCCUUUUUGUACACAACAUGUGGUUAGGU
rnacentral:piRNA from 1 species